GAUAAAACUCUGGAUAGUUAGC
rnacentral:siRNA from 1 species